CUCAAUCCACUGUUAGACCUUGAACAAUUUGUUGGUCUUUUGGUUUGCACUAGGAUACAAAAACAAAAAUAAAUCCUUUGCUUUCUGUCUUUGUGGCAGUUUAGAUUGAUUAGGAAACACGUCU